GACGUAGGGCGCGAGCGUUGUCCGGAUUUAUUGGGCGUAAAGAGCGUGUAGGCGGCUAGGUAGGUCCGUUGUGAAAACUCGAGGCUCAACCUCGAGACGUCGAUGGAAACCAUCUAGCUAGAGUCCGGAAGAGGAGAGUGGAAUUCCUGGUGUAGCGGUGAAAUGCGCAGAUAUCAGGAAGAACACCAAUGGCGAAGGCAGCUCUCUGGGACGGUACUGACGCUGAGACGCGAAAGCGUGGGGAGCGAACAGG
rnacentral:rRNA from 1 species